GGCCUCGUAGCACUGUUCUUGACAGUGAUGUGAUGUAAUAAUGUAGGCUGAUGGUAGGUAACUUGUAGCUGUAGUUGGGACAAAUGCUGGAGAUUGUAAAAGAGAUAAACCAGUGUUGCUCAUGUUCAGGCUGUAGUUGGGACAAAUGCUGUUGUAUCUUAAUUCAUGUACUGUGUGUCAGUCACUCAUGGCAGCAUGGGUGUUUCACAAGCUCUGAAGAUUGUUGUGCUGAAAGUUCAAUUCUCCUUUCUUUUGUUUAUGCAUUUCAGAGAACUGAUAGUUCUAAGCUCAUGCUUUUUUGUCUGCUUUGCCAGAUCCAGAGCUCUUAUACUCUGUUGUUGUUCACUUUGUCGCUGCUGCUUUUGCUUUAACUGAUUUUUUUUCUUCUGUGUCGUAGUGCACCAUUGAACUCCUGGUAGUCUAGUUGUACUGGUUCUGCUCAUCUGUUUGCCAGAAUAUGCUCUUCUGCUCUUCAUUCUUCCUUUUGGGUUCUAUGGAGGUUUUGAAAAUACAUCAUGCAAAGUUAUUGAAUCUGCAAGCUUGUCUGCAAUGGGCUGUCUCCAGGAAAAGAAAACGGUAAUUGUCGACGACGAUGCAAACUUGCGGCCUGAAAACUUGCAAAAGGAAGCUUCUGGAGGCAAUGUCCCGGGCCCAGUUCAUCUGAAAGAACGUGUUGCAACUAUACAAAAAGGCAGAGUUCUACCGGUGCCAUUGCCACUUUCCUAGCUGACGACAUGCUGGGCACACCGCUGCUAUAGGUGACUCCUGAUUAUUUUCCUUUACUUAUCUUUAUUAUUUAUAGUGUGUUGAGUCCAGACUGUCUGAUGUUCAUUCCACAGGAACAUCCUGGAGCAGCUUGUGAAGAAUCACAGCCAUCGCUGCCCCAGCAAAGCACAGCUUGGUACCCGGCCUUUAACACACAUGAUGAAACAAAGUAGUACUGGUAUUAUUCUUUGUCUCCUUAUUUGGUUAUUAACCUGAUUAUUACAAACACUAUAUAGAAUUGGACAAACAAACACUAAUGCCACGUUAUAAGAUAGAAAAAGGUCGAAUUUCAACAGUGUAUAACAUAUAAAUAAGAUACAGGUGCACGUAUGGCAUAUUUUGCUUUGGACGAUCAUGCAUAUAAUGCAUAAAGUCUCUACAUGGGAAGUGGUAAUGGACGAACAUUAAAUCUGUCAAAAAGUAUUUCCUUUCCAACUUGCCAUACUUAGUAUUCUGUAUGGCCUAAUUCACCCUCGAUCAAUUGUCGGCUAGGAUUUGAUUCUCCCAUCUUAAAAUUUCCCACAGCAGUUUCUUUCAACUGCAGCUUGGAGCGCAAGAGCAUUUUUUGUCUAAGAAAAAACUUGCCCUAUACUAGGGAAGUGCAUCCGGAUGAGAGACGACAUCCCCUUAGUGAUUUUGUUCCUAAGAGACAACUUCUGCUCAGUGGCGGAGCUCGAAAGAAACAAUUGGGCGGGCCAGACUAAAGGAGAGCAAUUCUUUUUUCCAAAUUAUGAAUCAUAAGACAUGUCACAAGAUUGAGCUAGAAGAUAUGUCAUCUCUUUUUCUUUUAAAGACCAAAUCAAUGCUUCUUUCAGUCUGAUUUUCCUUGCCCGUGACUACCUAUAUUGCAAUUUGCAUAUGAUCAAAUCAUCAGGCUAUUACGUAUUUAUCAGUUUAUCACUACUUCACUAGCAGGACUGAUCACUGGAUGUAUGAAACUGAAAAAAAA
rnacentral:lncRNA from 1 species